rnacentral:rRNA from 1 species
CACGUAGGGCGCAAGCGUUGUCCGGAAUUAUUGGGCGUAAAGAGCUCGUAGGCGGUCUGUUGCGUCUGCUGUGAAAACCCGGGGCUUAACCCCUGGCUUGCAGUGGAUACGGACAGACUAGAGGUAGGUAGGGGAGAAUGGAAUUCCCGGUGUAGCGGUGAAAUGCGCAGAUAUCGGGAGGAACACCGGUGGCGAAGGCGGUUCUCUGGGCCUUACCUGACGCUGAGGAGCGAAAGCGUGGGGAGCAAACGGG